AGAGUUUGAUCCUGGCUCAGGAUGAACGCUGGCGGCGUGCCUAACACAUGCAAGUCGAGCGAGGGUUUGCUCAGUAUUGAGUAUUCUAAAACUAGAAUGUUCAAUUCUGAGCAAAACCAAGCGGCGGACGGGUGAGUAACGCGUGGGUAACCUGCCCUAUACACAUGGAUAACAUACUGAAAAGUUUACUAAUACAUGAUAAUAUAUAUUUGCGGCAUCGCAGAUAUAUCAAAGUGUUAGCGGUAUAGGAUGGACCCGCGUCUGAUUAGCUAGUUGGUGAGAUAACUGCCCACCAAGGCGACGAUCAGUAGCCGACCUGAGAGGGUGAUCGGCCACAUUGGAACUGAGACACGGUCCAAACUCCUACGGGAGGCAGCAGUGGGGAAUAUUGCACAAUGGGCGAAAGCCUGAUGCAGCAACGCCGCGUGAACGAUGAAGGUCUUCGGAUCGUAAAGUUCUGUUGCAGGGGAAGAUAAUGACGGUACCCUGUGAGGAAGCCCCGGCUAACUACGUGCCAGCAGCCGCGGUAAUACGUAGGGGGCUAGCGUUAUCCGGAUUUACUGGGCGUAAAGGGUGCGUAGGUGGUCCUUCAAGUCGGUGGUUAAAGGCUACGGCUCAACCGUAGUAAGCCGCCGAAACUGGAGGACUUGAGUGCAGGAGAGGAAAGUGGAAUUCCCAGUGUAGCGGUGAAAUGCGUAGAUAUUGGGAGGAACACCAGUAGCGAAGGCGGCUUUCUGGACUGCAACUGACACUGAGGCACGAAAGCGUGGGUAGCAAACAGGAUUAGAUACCCUGGUAGUCCACGCUGUAAAC
rnacentral:rRNA from 1 species